rnacentral:rRNA from 1 species
ACUCAUGGGCCUAAAUACCAUAAAGAAACCAGAUCCUAUCAGACCUUGGAAGCUAAGCAGGGGAAAUCCUGACGUCUACUUGAAUGGGAGACCGUCAAUGAAUACCAAGUGCUAUGGGCU